rnacentral:rRNA from 1 species
UAAUACGUAGGUGGCAAGCGUUGUCCGGAUUUAUUGGGUUUAAAGGGUGCGUAGGCGGCCUAUUAAGUCAGUGCUGAAAUAUCCCGGCUUAACCGGGAGGGUGGCAUUGAUACUGAUGGGCUUGAGUAAAGUUGAGGUAGGCGGAAUUGACGGUGUAGCGGUGAAAUGCUUAGAUAUCGUCAAGAACACCUAUUGCGAAGGCAGCUUACUAAGCUUUAACUGACGCUGAUGCACGAAAGUGUGGGGAUCAAACAGGAUUAGAUACCCUGGUAGUCCACACUGUAAACGUUGAUGACUCGCUGUUGGCGAUACACAGUCAGCGGCUGAGAGAAAUCGUUAAGUCAUCCACCUGGGGAGUACGCCGGCAACGGUG